GGGCCCGCACAAGCGGAGGAACAUGUGGUUUAAUUCGAUGAUACGCGAGGAACCUUACCCGGGCUCGAACGGCAAGUGAAUGAUCUGGAAACAGACAGUCCGCAAGGACACUUGUCGAGGUGCUGCAUGGUUGUCGUCAGCUCGUGCCGUGAGGUGUCGGCUUAAGUGCCAUAACGAGCGCAACCCUUACCGUUAGUUACCAUCAGGUGAAGCUGGGGACUCUAGCGGGACUGCCACCGUAAGGUGUGAGGAAGGUGGGGAUGACGUCAAAUCAGCACGGCCCUUACGUCCGGGGCGACACACGUGUUACAAUGGGGGGACAGCAGGCAGCUACCUGGCGACAGGAUGCGAAUCCGUCAAACCCUCUCCCAGUUCGGAUUGGAGUCUGCAACUCGACUCCAUGAAGCUGGGAUUCGCUAGUAAUCGCGCAUCAGCCAUGGCG
rnacentral:rRNA from 1 species